rnacentral:rRNA from 1 species
CGUGUAGGCGGGACGGCACGUCGGUCGCUGAAAGCCCCCGGCUCAACCGGGGAAGUGGCGCCGAUACGACCGACCUGGAGGGACGUAGGGGGACCUGGAACUUCCGGUGGAGCGGUGAAAUGCGUUGAGAUCGGAAGGAACGCCCGUGGCGAAAGCGAGGUCCUGGACGUUUACUGACGCUGAGACGCGAAAGCCAGGGGAGCGAACG